UACGUAGGGUGCGAGCGUUAAUCGGAAUUACUGGGCGUAAAGCGUGCGCAGGCGGUUUUGUAAGCCAGAUGUGAAAUCCCCGGGCUUAACCUGGGAAUGGCAUUUUGGGACUGCAAGGCUGGAGUGCGGCAGAGGAGACUGGAAUUCCUGGUGUAGCGGUGAAAUGCGUAGAUAUCAGGAGGACACCUGUGGUGUAGACGGCUUUCUGGACCAUAGCUGACGCUGAGACACGAAAGCGUGGGUAGCAAACAGG
rnacentral:rRNA from 1 species